UCGUCUGUAGUGUAAUGGAUAACACAUAAGAUUUCGGCUCUCACAAUCUGGGUUCGAAUCCUGGCAGGUGGG
rnacentral:tRNA from 2 species